CCUACGGGUGGCAGCAGUGGGGAAUAUUGCACAAUGGGGGGAACCCUGAUGCAGCAAUGCCGCGUGGGUGAAGAAGUACUUCGGUAUGUAAAGCCCUGUCAGCAGGGAAGAAAAUGACGGUACCUGACAAAGAAGCCCCGGCUAACUACGUGCCAGCAGCCGCGGUAAUACGUAGGGGGCAAGCGUUAUCCGGAUUUACUGGGUGUAAAGGGAGUGUAGGCGGUUAGGCAAGUCAGGAGUGAAAUCCCGGGGCUUAACCAUGGGACUGCUUUGGUAACUGUGUUGCUGGAGUGAAGGAGGGGUAAGCGGAAUUCCUAGUGUAGCGGUGAAAUGCGUAGAUAUUGGGAGGAACACCAGUGGCGAAGGCGGCUUACUGGACUUACACUGACGCUGAGGCUCGAAGGCGUGGGGAGCAAACAGGAUUAGAUACCCGGGUAGUC
rnacentral:rRNA from 1 species